AGCGGCAGCCCGAUCACCCCCAAACCUCGUCAGCAUCCCCACCUGGCCCCAACCUGCCAGCCUUCACCAGGCUCUUAACAAGAGGCCAGUUCUCAGCCAGCCUCUCUCCUGUCCUUGAGCGGCAAGUGGGCAGCUGAGCAGAAUUGUAGAAGCAGUUUGUGAACUACCUUUGGAGCCCGUAAAGUGGAGAUGAGCCCCAUGCAUGUCACUGAACUCAGAACAUGGGGAGCCUGGGUUACAGAUCCACAGAAUAACCAAGACCAGCGUGGCAGGGGCCUCCAGGGGCCGAAACCUCCAGGAGAGAAGUCAGUAAAUGCUAUAGAAAGCACAGCCUGUGUCGGGAAUGGAGAUGAAAUAUUUCUUUGUUAGACAUGCCAUCAAAAAGUCCCGAAGUUGAGGAAGAACGCAGGUUUAUUUUCAAAUAAAUGCUCACUUGGA
rnacentral:lncRNA from 1 species